GCCAAUGGUGGGCUGGACGAGGCAGCUUCGGCUGGCCGUUUCCUUGAGUACGGUACUGCGAACCUCGUUCAGUUCAUCACC
rnacentral:antisense_RNA from 13 species